GAUGAACGCUAGCGGCAGGCUUAAUACAUGCAAGUCGAGGGAAAAGUAGUUUUCGGACUAUGAAGACCGGCGCACGGGUGCGUAACGCGUACACAACAUACCUAAUACUGGAGCAUAGCCUCGGGAAACUGGGAGUAAUUCUCCAUAGCAUUUUAGAGUGGCAUCACUUUGAAAUUAAAGCUCAGGCGGUAUUGGAUUGGUGUGCGUAUGAUUAGUUUGUUGGUAGGGUAAUGGCCUACCAAGACUACGAUCAUUAGCUGGCGUGAGAGCGCGACCAGCCACACUGGAACUGAGACACGGUCCAGACUCCUACGGGAGGCAGCAGUAGGGAAUAUUGGACAAUGGGCGAAAGCCUGAUCCAGCCAUGCCGCGUGGUAGAUGAAGGCCCUCUGGGUUGUAAAUACCUUUUAUCUGGGAAGAAUAUCUCGUUCUCGAGAAACUGACGGUACCAGAUGAAUAAGCACCGGCUAACUCCGUGCCAGC
rnacentral:rRNA from 1 species